AGUGAACGCUGGCGGUAGGCCUAACACAUGCAAGUCGAACGGCAGCACAGGAGAGCUUGCUCUCUGGGUGGCGAGUGGCGGACGGGUGAGGAAUACAUCGGAAUCUACUUUUUCGUGGGGGAUAACGUAGGGAAACUUACGCUAAUACCGCAUACGACCUACGGGUGAAAGCAGGGGACCUUCGGGCCUUGCGCGAUUGAAUGAGCCGAUGUCGGAUUAGCUAGUUGGCGGGGUAAAGGCCCACCAAGGCGACGAUCCGUAGCUGGUCUGGGAGGAUGAUCAGCCACGCUGGAACUGAGACACGGUCCAGACUCCUACGGGAGGCAGCAGUGGGGAAUAUUGGACAAUGGGCGCAAGCCUGAUCCAGCCAUACCGCGUGGGUGAAGAAGGCCUUCGGGUUGUAAAGCCCUUUUGUUGGGAAAGAAAUCCAGCUGGCUAAUACCCGGUUGGGAUGACGGUACCCAAAGAAUAAGCACCGGCUAACUUCGUGCCAGCAGCCGCCGUAA
rnacentral:rRNA from 1 species